rnacentral:sRNA from 15 species
UCGAGGGAUGACGUACUCGCACAAUCACGCAGCAAAGAAAUAACUGCCGAUGAUGAUGUCGACGGCGUGCUCAUACACAUUUGCCCGGAGCAACUUGGUAUCACUGAAUUUGUGCAAGUAGCGGAAGAAUCGA